rnacentral:rRNA from 1 species
CCUACGGGAGGCUGCAGUCGAGAAUCUUCCGCAAUGGACGAAAGUCUGACGGAGCGAUACAGCGUGAUGGAUGAAGUGCUUCGGUACGUAAACAUCUUUUAUGUGGGACGCGGUACCACAUGAAUAAGGGGCUCCUAACUCUGUGCCAGCAGGAGCGGUAAUACAGAGGCCCCAAGCGUUAUCCGGAAUUAUUGGGCGUAAAGGGUGUCAAGGCGGUCAUGUUAGUCGUGUGUAAAAUCCGGGGGCUCAACCUCCGGCCCGCAUACGAAACGGCAUGACUUGAGGUUGGAAGAGGUGCGUGGAACUCACGGUGUAGGGGUGAAAUCCGUUGAUAUCGUGGGGAACACCAAAGGCGAAGGCAGCGCACUGGUCCAAUCUGACGCUCACACACGAAAGCCAGGGUAGCGAAUGGGAUUAGAUACCCUUGUAGUC